CUGGAGACAAGAACACUGAUCUAACAGAGACAGGGAAAGGCAAAACCAAGAAACAUGUUCUCAGGAAAGACAAUGCUGUGCAUGGCUCUACUCAUUGCUUCUGCAAUCCUGACUGCCAACUGUGGUAAGUAGAGUCCAGCUAUUAGACAAAGAUGGCAAACUUGCAUGCCUUUUUCCAUAUUCGUAUAUGCCGUAUACGUAUAUUCGUAUAUAUGCGUAUAAAGGGUAGUGUUUUCCAGUAUAAGGGCAGUUACAAGGAUAAGAUAUGCUUAAUAUUAUUUAUCUUAUGCUAUAGACUAUGGUAGCUUAAAUAUCAUGCGUGGUUCCGUACAUUUAUGUGUCAUUAUAAUCCACACAUUUUUUCAGUUAAAUUAUAGCAGAAGUAGGCAGUGAAAAAUGAAAGCACAAAUAUUAAAUUAACUGGGUAAUAAUGAGAAGUGAAAUGUACCAAAUAACCAAGCUUACGGAUGUAUUAUGAAAUCCUACUUGUUAAGGAUAAACUAUUGGUACAAUCUUUUAUCUACUCAGUAAAAUGUACAGAGCUAAAUUACACUAAAAACUAAAAACAAAAACAAAAAAAUUGUUCUUGGAUACCUAGUAGUACAAUUCCAUAUGAACCUUAUCGUGGAGUUCUACAUAUCCUUCUGGUUACCUUAGAGUUAUCUUUAUAUGUUUUUUGUUUGUCCCUAGAGGUUAGAACAUGUGAGCACAGAGCCGUAUAUAAUUAGUCCACAAUGUACUGUAUUGACUUUGUUUUUCCCUGCUUUCUCGGUAACAAUUUUUCUGUUGCCUUACCACCACAGAUGUCGGGAAGAUUACCAGCUGUUGUACUAGAGUUUCUUCCGCCAAGUCUAAAGUUCCCAUUGAAGAUUUUUUAAUUCAGAAGGAAGAUCUUCCCUGCGUUGAAGCUGUGCUGUAAGUAUUCAGAGACAUAGACUCAUUGCCGUAUCAAAAAUGGCUUCAUACUAAUUUUUACUACAUAUUUGCUACUUUUAGCAAAACUUUGGAGAUGUUUGGUGGGGGAAUUAAGGGGGUUAGGUAUGCAUCUGGUGAAAGAAGGAAUGCAAUGGAAGUUGAGAAUCCACAAACAUGUUUUUUUUGUUGUAGAGAAUUAGGGAGUAGCAGAAGGUAGAGGGGAUGGGAUGUGUAGCGGUUGGUGUGAGACUGAAAUAUUUUGGUAAAUAAAUUAUAUGUAUGAUAUGUGUAGACAGACAGACAGACAGUGAUUUUUAUGAAUUAUAUAAUACAAGGAAUAGUCAAAGAUCGCUUCUUUUAUUAUUCCUCAUAAUGAUGGUUAUAGAACUUAAAAUGACUCUAAUCCUGAAAAUCCAAUAUAAAUUUAAUUAUUUGUUUUGUGUUGAAUUCAGGUUUAUCACACAGAGUGGGAAAAUUUUGUGUUCCAGACCUAAUAUUCCAUGGGUUUCUCAGAAGAUCAAAGAAAUUAUGUAAGUUCAAUCGUGGUUUGACAAUGUGCAAACCUGAAAACAAUCACGUCAAUAUAAAUAUUAGGUAUAGAAACAUAGAAUGUGACGGCAGAGAAGAACCAUUCGGCCCAUCUAGUCUGUAUAUAAUCAGCGCGUUUUUGCACCAUUUAGUUCACUGAUGAAAUGAGAAGAAGUAACCAGUAGAGGAAAAAAGUAGGAGGAGUAAAAAUAUAUAUAUUUUAUAUAUAUUGUAUGAAAAUUGUUGGGGGGGGGGUUGUUUUUUUUUUUUUACUGCUCCUACUUUUUUCACUCUAUUGGUCACUUGAUCUGUGACUAAAAUCAAAAAGAAGUGACUUAACCCCCAACUAUCAAUCAUCUUUUUGAGACAAAUGAAGUGGCUUGGUCGCUCCUCAUUUUACUUGUUUUGCGAUUCAGUCAAAUGGAAAUUUGAAGUUACAGGAAUUCAGAUGAAUCGCCAAUUGCCCAAAAUGCAGACAAAUCAGGAUUCACUUGAAACCUUAUGCACCAGCCCAUUCCUUAUAGCAGUGAAUAGAAAAUCUCACUAAUCGAACCUUUGGGGUGCAGCUUGCCCUUGUCCAUUAAUCAUCUGAUACUCAUUUUCUACAUUCUACCCAGACAACUUGUGUUCAUUUCUCUCACCACUACAUAAUGCAUUUAUCAUCAGAGAUUGUCCAUGCAGAUGUCAAGAUAUGGGAUUAUACAUACAGAUGUUAAACUAUGCCCAAAUGUUGUUGGACUACAAUUAUCUUCUACAACCCCACGUAAUAGACCUUUGGGGAUUGUAUGUAAACAGUUGUGGUGUUACAGUUUUGUCUUACUUAAUUUUGUUUUUUAUUGCAUUUUCUAUUUUCCAGAAAGCAAGUAAGAGAUUCAUUUCUCUUUAGUACAUCUGUUUAUUACCAUACACAACACACCUAGUAAAUAUCUGGAUUGUGUGUUUAUCUGUUGACCAGAAUCCUAAAAAUUCAAAUACAAAUAAAAUCUACUAAUCUCUUCACCUCGAAUUAAAAGCAUACAUAUUGAUACAUUAAAAGCCUAUAUAUUUAGAAUUGAAGGUUUCACAAUAAAUAGAAAGUAAUCAUGGCAUACACUAACAAUCCCUUUCAUGCUUUGUUUCAGGAAGAAGAAAACCGAGAACAAUAAUUAAAGACCAAUAGAGGGCUAGUGUUUCUGACUCCAGGAUUGAAACCAUGUAAGGUCCAGAAGAUGCCCUUAUUCCUUCAGGAAGCAAAACUAGAUUAAUUUAUGUCUGUGUACCUGAAUACUUGAAAUUUGCAAAUCUAUUGGUAGGAAUUUUAAUUUAUAUAUAUGUAUAUUUAUUUUGAAGUGCACUCGCUAUUUUAAGAUAUAGUUAAUUUAUUCUUCACUAGGUUUUGAAAUAAUGUUAAUGCAAAAUCAAUAUUUUAUUUAUUUAAAAAAAUAUAUUAAUCUAUUGGCAAUAAUACAUAGAAAUUUGAUGUCUUUCAAGGAUCAAUCGGCAUAGUUAUAAAUUAUAAUCUGAAUGUGAACUCUGACACACUCAAUUUGGCAUGGGCAAAAAAGUAGAUCCCCAGAUCUUGUAGAACUACAACUGCAAAGUUCUACAUUUCUCCAUAUACAUUUUGCCCACCCAUGCCCUAGGUCAGCGGUCCCUUAACCCAGUCCUCAUGGACCACCAUCAGUCCAGGAUUUAUGUAUUUUAAUUUUUUAUUUAAAUGGAGAUACUGACAAAACCUGGACUGCUGGUGGCCAGUGAUGACUGGGUUGGGGACCACUGUCUUAGGUUAGGUUUGUCCAAUGUGCAUUCAUUAAAGGUAUGUAAUUCACUAAACAUUGAGUUUUAAUGAUAUUUAUUUUGAAAAUUGAAUAAAAAUAUAUCCAUCACAUCUCUUUUAGGCUACAUAUUACAACUCAUUACUUACAUUGUAUUUAAAAAGAAACCAAAACAAGCAAUGGGUUUUGAAUGAUCUACUAUUUACAACACAUAAUAUUGUAUUAAUUAGUGCAGCUUUUUCAUUUUAAAUAGUUGAUCCAGAUGGCCUUGUCUGACUCACUGGUCCAUAUUGUCUUUACAAUUCACUAUAGCUAUUUAUCUUCCAGUGUUUCCACUCUCUCAGUGUAAUUGUAGACAUUACAUAAUGUCAUGUAAAGAAUGAUAUAACUGAAUUUUAGGACAUUGAAUGCACAUUUUUUAAAGGCAAAUUGCAUUACAUAUUAUUUUAAUCCUUCAAGCAAAGUGUACUAUAUUCAGGAAUCAUUGAUAUUUUUAGGCAAAGGUAUAAAAUGCCAACACUCUUUCCCUAUUUGACUACAUUUUAAUUAACUUAAAACGUAACGCAGUUAAGCUGGGGAAUUUUAGAAUUCAACUAAUUUACUUUAUUUUGUUCUAAUCCACAUGUUGCUUUGAAAAUCUUUAGCAAAUGAUCAAAUUGCCUGGUUUCAAACCUUGACUGUAUGAUAUUAUACAAUAUCGUGGUUGACAUAAUUAGUCACAUUGCUAAAAAAAGGAAGAAAAUAAAAUAUGGGUUUAAACAAAAUGAACCACUUCCUCAAGUGUAAAAAAACCCAGAAAUGGUACACACGUAAAAAGUAUAACAAAAGUACAAAUUGCAACAAAAUGUGACAAUUGUAUGUAAUAUCGUGAAUAUAAUCAUCAGUUUUUCAAAGAUCUUCAAAAUCAAAAGGAUAUUUGUACCUUUCGUGUUUUUUGUUGUUGCAGAAUUUGUAACUUUUUUGUGACCUAAUUCUUGUAAUAACAAAUAAUCAUUCAAUUUAUGUGUUUUACUUGAUAUGUGUCUGCGUUACUUGAAAUAUUAUAAAUAUUGAUAUCAUGGGUGAACAGCUGUAAUAUUAAUAGCAUUUAUUUAUAAAAUAUAUUUUUGCUCUAAAUGUAUUAGGAGUAUUUAUUUUAAUAGAAACAAAUAGAAAAUGACUGAUGCAUUGAACAACUGGAAACAAAUGAUACCCUCUGUAUGACAAAUUCAUAAAAAUAUUUAUUUAUGGC
rnacentral:lncRNA from 1 species